rnacentral:tRNA from 2 species
GCACUGGUGGUGGAAUGGUAGACACGCCAUCUUGAGGGGGUGGUGAACUUCGUUCGUGCGAGUUCAAGUCUCGCUCAGUGCACCA